rnacentral:rRNA from 1 species
UACGGAGGGGGCGAGCGUUAUUCGGAAUUAUUGGGCGUAAAGGGCGCGUAGGCGGCUGUACAAGUCAAAGGUGAAAUCCCUCGGCUCAACUGAGGAACUGCCUUUGAAACUGUACGGCUUGAGGCCGGGAGGGGGUAGCGGAAUUCCCAGUGUAGCGGUGAAAUGCGUAGAUAUCGUUUGGAACGCCGAUGGUGAAAACAGGUCGCUGGGGUUGUGCUGACGCUGAGACACGAAAGCCAGGGGAGCGAACGGG